rnacentral:rRNA from 1 species
UCCGUAGGGUGCAAGCGUUAAUCGGACUUACUGGGCGGAAAGCGUGCGCAGGCGGUUUUGUAAGUCUGUCGUUAAAGCCCCGGGCUCAAACUGGGAAUUGCGAUGGAGACUGCAAGGCUUGAAUCUGGCAGAGGGGGGUAGAAUUCCACGUGUAGCAGUGAAAUGCGUAGAGAUGUGGAGGAACACCGAUGGCGAAGGCAGCCCCCUGGGUCAAGAUUGACGCUCAUGCACGAAAGCGUGGGGAGCAAACAGG